UCGUAUAACAGAGGGCAUCCUGGGCUGUCGCUGACCCAUCAGGUCGUGCACGCCUAGAGUGUUCUCAUUUACACAUCUACCUCACCCUUUGUGCAUUGCCGCGUGGGCCCUCUUCUUUGAUUCAAAGAAAGGCCUACGUUUUUACACGAAACGUAGUAACAGUCGAAUGUCUUAUACUUGCGGUGACACGCAAUCAAUA
rnacentral:misc_RNA from 1 species